AUGACCAAUGAUGACAAGGUUUCAGGAGUAUAAGUCACAGACAAUGACUAUGUCACUAGAGGUCUGAGGUCCAC